rnacentral:rRNA from 1 species
UGGGGAAUAUUCGGCAAUGGGCGAAAGCCUGACCGAGCGACGCCGCGUGAGCGAAGAAGGCCUUCGGGUCGUAAAGCUCUGUCUAGUGGGACGAAGAAAGUGACGGUACCACUGGAGGAAGCCACGGCUAACUACGUGCCAGCAGCCGCGGUAAUACGUAGGUGGCGAGCGUUGUCCGGAAUUACUGGGCGUAAAGGGCGCGUAGGCGGAUUGAUAAGUCAGUUGUGAAAGUUUGCGGCUCAACCGUAAAAUUGCAGUUGAUACUGUCAGUCUUGAGUACAGUAGAGGUAAGCGGAAUUCGUGGUGUAGCGGUGAAAUGCUUAGAUAUCACGAAGAACUCCAAUUGCGAAGGCAGCUUGCUGGACUGUAACUGACGCUGAGGCUCGAAAGUGUGGGUAUCAAACA